GGCUGGCGGCAGCUACCAUGCAGUCGAGCGGAAACAAAGAGUAGCUUGCUACUCUGGCGACGAGCGGCGGACGGGUGAGUAAUGCUUGGGAACAUGCCUUGAGGUGGGGGACAACAGUUGGAAACGACUGCUAAUACCGCAUAAUGUCUACGGACCAAAGGGGGCUUCGGCUCUCGCCUUUAGAUUGGCCCAAGUGGGAUUAGCUAGUUGGUGAGGUAAUGGCUCACCAAGGCGACGAUCCCUAGCUGGUUUGAGAGGAUGAUCAGCCACACUGGGACUGAGACACGGCCCAGACUCCUACGGGAGGCAGCAGUGGGGAAUAUUGCACAAUGGGCGCAAGCCUGAUGCAGCCAUGCCGCGUGUGUGAAGAAGGCCUUCGGGUUGUAAAGCACUUUCAGUCAGGAGGAAAGGUUAGUAGUUAAUACCUGCUAGCUGUGACGUUACUGACAGAAGAAGCACCGGCUAACUCCGUGCCAGCAGCCGCGGUAAUACGGAGGGUGCGAGCGUUAAUCGGAAUUACUGGGCGUAAAGCGUACGCAGGCGGUUUGUUAAGCGAGAUGUGAAAGCCCCGGGCUCAACCUGGGAACUGCAUUUCGAACUGGCAAACUAGAGUGUGAUAGAGGGUGGUAGAAUUUCAGGUGUAGCGGUGAAAUGCGUAGAGAUCUGAAGGAAUACCGAUGGCGAAGGCAGCCACCUGGGUCAACACUGACGCUCAUGUACGAAAGCGUGGGGAGCAAACAGGAUUAGUCCCCUU
rnacentral:rRNA from 1 species